rnacentral:lncRNA from 1 species
AAAAAAUGAAUACAGCAAUGCUCUUGCCUGCUCAAAGUCUUCACACAUUGUUAUCUGAGGCGGAUCUGUAACAGGACACAUUUCAGGCUGUUCAGUUUAUGCUUUUGGUGGAAAGUAGAAAAGUUUUUCUGAAAGCUGCUGACUGAACACUGAGGAGACAUGGAAGCUGUGGUUGGACUUCUGGUGAUGAUACUUGGAGUCUCUCAUGGUGUGGCAACCCACUGUGAUGGCAGACAGGACGGAGUUCAGUGUUUCGGUCCUUUGGGAGGAACUGUGGUCGUCCAGCUGAUGGACAGUGACUCAGAAAUAUCUAGAUACCAAUUGUUUUACAAUAAUAAAACAACAUUAAUCAGAGUGGGAAAUAAUGUGAUUAUAACUAAUAAUAUACAAGACGGAUCCUCAUUUAUUCCCAGUGAUAAAACAUUGACGCUCAAUAACCUGAGCAGGAAUGAUGGUGGUGAAUAUAGACUUGAAACCUUUGAUAAAGGUGGAAAGACUUUAGGAAAGCGGACUCUACAGUUGACCAUUCAAGCUCCUGUGUCCUCUGUCCUGCUGGACUCUGAGUGUCUGUCCCAGGGAGAGAAGAGGGUGUCCUGCUCCUCUGAGGGAGGGGAAAGUCCUCAGUACAGCUGGACUCUGGAUGGGCACAAACUGACAGACGCUGAGCUCCUCUCUGCAAACACUGAGACUAACAGCAUCACUCUGAAACAACACGUCUCAGGACUACUGCUCUGCUCAGUCAGCAAUGACGUCAGCAGUGUCACGACAGAAGAGAAGAUAUCUAACUGUGGAUUCAUAUACGUUAACUGCACCUUAAAUGUGACACACAUAUCACAGUGGGUGUUUGCAGCCAAUAAUACCCUGUGCAUUGAGCCAACAACAGCUCCUACCCCGACCACAGAAGCCUCCACUGCCGGUUUGGAAACCCACUGUGAUGGCAGACAGGACGGAGCUCAGUGUUUCGGUCCUUUGGGAGGAACUGUGGUCGUCCAGCUGAUGGACAGUGACUCAGAAAUAUCUAGAUACCAAUUGUUUUACAAUAAUAAAACAACAUUAAUCAGAGUGGCAAAUAAUGUGAUUAUAACUAAUAAAAUACAAGACAGAUCCUCAUUUACUCCCAGUGAUAAAACAUUGACGCUCAAUAGCCUGAGCAGGAAUGAUGGUGGUGAAUAUAGACUGGAAACCUUUGAUAACGAUGGAAAGACUUCAGGAGAGCGGACUCUACAGUUGACCAUUCAAGCUCCUGUGUCCUCUGUCCUGCUGGACUCUGAGUGUCUGUCCCAGGGAGAGAAGAGGGUGUCCUGCUCCUCUGAGGGAGGGGAAAGUCCUCAGUACAGCUGGACUCUGGAUGGGCACAAACUGACAGACGCUGAGCUCCUCUCUGCAAACACUGAGACUAACAGCAUCACUCUGAAACAACACGUCUCAGGACUACUGCUCUGCUCAGUCAGCAAUGACGUCAGCAGUGUCACGACAGAAGAGAAGAUAUCUAACUGUGGUGAGGAAGAACAUCAGUAUAAAACAGUUUGA